rnacentral:rRNA from 1 species
AACCUCCGCAAUGUACGAAAGUGCGACGGGGGGAUCCCAAGUGUUAUGCUUUUUUGUAUAACUUUUCAUUAGUGUAAAAAGCUUUUAGAAUAAGAGCUGGGCAAGACCGGUGCCAGCCGCCGCGGUAACACCGGCAGCUCGAGUGGUAGCUGUUUUUAUUGGGCCUAAAGCGUUCGUAGCCGGUUUGAUAAGUCUUUGGUGAAAGCUUGUAGCUUAACUAUAAGAAUUGCUGGAGAUACUAUCAGACUUGAAGUCGGGAGAGGUUAGAGGUACUACCGGGGUAGGGGUGAAUCCUAUAAUCCUGGGAGGACCACCUGUGGCGAAGGCGUCUAACUGGAACGAUCUUGACGGUGAGUAACGAAAGCCAGGGGCGCGAACCGGAUUAGAUACCCGGGUAGUCCUGGCCGUAAACGAUGUGGACUUGGUGUUGGAAUGGCUUUGAGUUGUUCCGGUGCCGAAGGGAAGCUGUUAAGUCCACCGCCUGGGAAGUACGGUCGCAAGACUGAAAACUUAAAGAAUU